CUUGCUCUUCUUGGAAGAGUUGCGAACGGGUGAGUAACGCGUAUGUAACCUGCCUUGUAGCGGGGGAUAACUAUUGGAAACGAUAGCUAAUACCGCAUAACAAUGGAUGACACAUGUCAUUUAUUUGAAAGGGGCAACUGCUCCACUACAAGAUGGACCUGCGUUGUAUUAGCUAGUAGGUGAGGUAACGGCUCACCUAGGCGACGAUACAUAGCCGACCUGAGAGGGUGAUCGGCCACACUGGGACUGAGACACGGCCCAGACUCCUACGGGAGGCAGCAGUAGGGAAUCUUCGGCAAUGGGGGCAACCCUGACCGAGCAACGCCGCGUGAGUGAAGAAGGUUUUCGGAUCGUAAAGCUCUGUUGUAAGUCAAGAACGAGUGUGAGAGUGGAAAGUUCACACUGUGACGGUAGCUUACCAGAAAGGGACGGCUAACUACGUGCCAGCAGCCGCGGUAAUACGUAGGUCCCGAGCGUUGUCCGGAUUUAUUGGGCGUAAAGCGAGCGCAGGCGGUUUGAUAAGUCUGAAGUUAAAGGCUGUGGCUCAACCAUAGUUCGCUUUGGAAACUGUCAAACUUGAGUGCAGAAGGGGAGAGUGGAAUUCCAUGUGUAGCGGUGAAAUGCGUAGAUAUAUGGAGGAACACCGGUGGCGGAAGCGGCUCUCUGGU
rnacentral:rRNA from 1 species